UCUUUGAGCAAGUUGCUCUGAAUGUUACAGAAAAUAGAUGUGACUUUCUGGAUAACAACUACCGUCUUCUUCACGACAAUGAGACGAACCUUUACUGGCAGAAGUCAUCCUGUCAAACAAACCUGGAGGCCUUGAAAAAGAAACAGGAGGCCAUUCAGUUCAGUCGAUUCAAAGACGAGAAUCCGCUGGAACAGUGGGUCGUCUGCUCGCUUCCAAAUCUUUACUUCGGAAGAGUUGAAACCCUAUCAUCAUGGCAUUAGUGUUCUCUUAGUU